rnacentral:rRNA from 1 species
AGGCGACGACGGGUAGCCGGCCUGAGAGGGUGAUCGGCCCAUUGGGACUGAGAUACGGCCCAGACUCCUACGGGAGGCAGCAGUGGGGAAUAUUGCACAAUGGGCGGAAGCCUGAUGCAGCGACGCCGCGUGAGGGAUGACGGCCUUCGGGUUGUAAACCUCUUUCAGCAGGGACGAAGCGUAAGUGACGGUACCUGCAGAAGAAGCACCGGCUAACUAUGUGCCAGCAGCCGCGGUAAUACGUAGGGUGCGAGCGUUGUCCGGAAUUACUGGGCGUAAAGAGCUCGUAGGCGGUUUGUCACGUCGUCUGUGAAAUCCUAGGGCUUAACCCUGGACGUGCAGGCGAUACGGGCUGACUUGAGUACUACAGGGGAGACUGGAAUUUCUGGUGUAGCGGUGGAAUGCACAGAUAUCAGGAAGAACACCGAUGGCGAAGGCAGGUCUCUGGGUAGUAACUGACGCUGAGGAGCGAAAGCAUGGGUAGCGAACAGGAUUAGAUACCCUGGUAGUCCAUGCCGUAAACGGUGGGCGCUAGGUGUGGGGUUCCUUCCACGGGCUCCGCGCCGUAGCUAACGCAUUAAGCGCCCCGCCUGGGGAGUACGGCCGCAAGGCUAAAACUCAAAGAAAUUGACGGGGGCCCGCACAAGCGGCGGAGCAUGUGGAUUAAUUCGAUGCAACGCGAAGAACCUUACCUGGGCUUGACAUAUAGAGGAUCGCUACAGAGAUGUGGUUUCCCUUGUGGCUUCUAUACAGGUGGUGCAUGGUUGUCGUCAGCUCGUGUCGUGAGAUGUUGGGU